rnacentral:rRNA from 1 species
UACGUAGGGCGCAAGCGUUAUCCGGAAUUAUUGGGCGUAAAGAGCUCGUAGGCGGUUUGUCGCGUCUGCCGUGAAAGUCCGGGGCUCAACUCCGGAUCUGCGGUGGGUACGGGCAGACUAGAGUCCAGUAGGGGAGUGUGGAAUUCCCGGUGUAGCGGUGAAAUGCGCAGAUAUCGGGAGGAACACCAGCGGCGAAGGCGGCACUCUGGGCUGGUACUGACGCUGAGGAGCGAAAGCGUGGGUAGCAAACAGG